GAGUUCAAUUGCGCCAGCGCCAGAAGGCGUCAAAUGUUCUGGCCGUUUUGAGCCCAAGCGGCUUGCUCAGGGAGGAGAGGCCCUGCUUGCCCCAUGCACCCGGCAAGAGGGCAGCCACCUGCCGCCCUGGGGAUCGGGAGCAGUGGCCCAGGAGGCUGUGAUUGGCUCAGCUGAAGUGAUAUCUUGAAUGUUUUUAGACAUUUGGGAAUGGAAGAGAAGCUGAUGUAGAGACUAGAGCAUAGCUGCCUCAUUACUCUUGGUCUAGCCCAAGGUGACAAACCAAAGAAGGAGGCUCACGGAGAUCUGGAAAUAUCAGUCAUAGGUUAACAUGGCUCACAGCGCUGGAUAGAUGGAGUCUUACGUCCCUGCACAAAGCUGGGACAAUCAAUUAGCAGGUCAAUCCAAAAUGAAUCCCUCCCAUCACCCUUUUUCCUGGAAUUACAGGUCUGUGAAGGAGAAAAGCCCUAAAAGACCCGGCUUUGAAGGAGCUGCUGAUAGCCAGAAACCAUGGUACUUUACCACAGUGCUGCAUAUUGGAGCACAGCACAGAUAUCACCACGCUGACUGCAGAGGGGACAUGCAUCCGUCGGGAAUGGCGUGGCACCAUAAGGAGUCUCUAGCUUGGAUUCUGAAAGCAAAAGAACCACAGCUGUGUGAUACUGCACCUAAAAUACUAUGUCCUCCAUCUUGACGAUGCUCCUAGAACAUUAAAAGAAAAAUCUGUGGAAGCUAGCUGAGGGUUGUGCAAGCAAAACUGAAUGGCAAAUAAACUGAGGUAAGUUGGAGUUUAUGUCCCUGAA
rnacentral:lncRNA from 1 species